AUUUUUAUGUGGUAUUUGGUCAAAAUAAGUUACUUCGUUUACUAUCGCAACUAGCUCAUAUUAUCGAAGACACGAUGAAAUUUUGAGUGGAAUAAUCAACUCAAUGAACCAAGAGUCCUUAUUUUCGGUAUCAUUCGUCAAAUGUUGACCGAUUAACUUAAUAUGGAUAAGGUAAUAAUUUAUCACAAGUGAUUCAAAUGAACUCAAAACAAAAGCAACCAGGUACACUUGUGACUUCAUCAAUACAGCAAUAAAACUGAUAUUACCUCGUAACAACAAAGUUUUAUUACCUACACUUUAUUAUUGUUCUAAUUGCAUAUUUCGGGCUCAUAGCAAUGAAAAACAAAACCGAGUAUUUAAAAAUGUUGCGCGACAAAUUUUAAUACCAUGAAAGAGCGAUACCAAGGAUAAAGAGUGACAUCAAGGACAAAGAGCGAAAUAAGGGACAAAGAGCGAUAUCACGGACAAAGAAGGACAUCAGGGACAAAGAGCGAUACUAAGGAUAAAGAGCGACAUCAGGGACAAAGAGCGAUAUCAAGGUCAAAGAACGACAUCAAGAACAAAGAGCGACAUUAGAGACAAAGAUUAUGUAAAUAUGAGAGACAAUUUUCUUUCUACUUGCCAUCGAGUUGGAUCUUAUAUUACAAGAUGUGAAAAUCAAAUUACAGAUUCUUUGUUGCUAUUACUUCUAAUUUAUGUACUUCGUAAUUCUUCAUGGUUAGUGAAGAGUUGCUGCAUAGUGACUUUUAUGUUCUUUUUUAUUGUUGUUAAUCUUUUCUAGUUGAUUUUUUUAUAGCGUCAUGAUCUUCAAAACUCGCCAUUUUUAAAUUCAGAAGAUGAAAGCAAGCAUAGAAUGAAAUCUCAUGAAAUAUUAUAAAAGUCCAAAAUUAAGAAGAAAUUUCAUUUGCAGUCCAAAUCUCCAAAACGAUUGUGAUCGAUUAAUGGAAAUAUUUACUUACUAUAUAAUUGAAACGAUUACAAAAACAAACAGCAACAGACCACCAAUAGACAAACCCAAUAUUAACGGCAAAUCGACAUCGUCAUCUGUCGCCAUCGGCGUUGUCAUCGUCGGCGUUGCCAUCGUCGGCGUUUUCAUCGUCGGCGUUGCCAUCGUCGGCGUUGUCAUCGUCGGCUUUGUAAUCGUCGGCGUUUUCAUCGUCGUCGUUGUUGUCAUUAUCGUUAUCGUCGUCAUCAUCGUCAUCGCCAUUGUAUUUUGAUGACUUGUUAAAUUCCUCACUGCUUCAAGAACGGCCAGUCGCAGAUUUUUGGUUUGUAAGGGUGUGCUUAAAGCAUCUUGAAGAACAGUUUUUUUGACUGGCUCAGUUGUACCAGGCUUAUUUACGCCUAUUCCUAGCCCAGUACUUCCUUCAUCACUGGCAAUGGAGUCUGUGUCGAAAGUAAUGUCACUUUCAUUAAAUCUUUGGCCACUGUAGAGAAAAGCAAAAUUUUUAUUGAUCUGUUUUGUUUUGAAAAAAGUAAAACAUUAACUAAAUGAUCGCAUCGUUCUAAAUAAACGAAACCAUGCUCUUUUAAUGACUAGUUAACUUUAGAUCUUCUAUCAUUUAAUUCAAUCCCAACAACUGCGGGUUGUAUAUAGUGCGUUGAGAAAAAUGAACAAUGUUGCAACAUAAAUAUCUUUAAGACUUACGUAGCUUCUCUUUUCUUUCUUCGACUAAAAAUGUAAAUUAUGUAACACAUAAAGUAUAUGGAUGUCAAAGGUACUCUUUGAAUCAGGGCUAAAUGUGUCUAUAGACCCAUAGAUUUAGUCUAUCUUCUAAGAAAGAUGCAAUGGAUUUUUAAUUGGCGAGGUCACGAUGAAAUUUAAGAAUUCGGUCGUUUUAA